GGGUUGUUGAGUGGAUUUUGGCUCUCUAGGUGAGAGCUGAGGAGAUUGGGAUGCUUCCCCUGCCUGGAACUAUUGGCUGUAGCAGAAGAGUGAGCAGAGUGCUGGGCAUGGCCUGGAGAUGUUUCCUUUGGAGCUGAGGUCUUGCAGCAGGAUCUUUCAGGUCAGUGAACUGGCUUCCACAGGAGGUUCACUGGACACUGCCCCAUUGCUGCUCCUGUGAACACUCUGUCUGAGGAAAAACUUCUUCUCCCAGUGCUGGGACUAGUGGAAUUGGCCAGCUCCAAGUUCAGGCUCUGAGUGAGCAUCUACCACGUUACCCCUGGACAGCAGUGAAGACACAGUCCUCAGGGGCAGCUCUUUGUGGGGCUCUCUGUAGAGGCCACUUUUGGACAAGGGUAAGAUUGUAUGAAGAAUGCAUCCCAGCUGCUGACACACGAGGCUGUUGCAGCAGAACUGGAAAGCACAGUGCUGGUAUGAGUACCCUUUAUCUUUAUUGCUUCCUCAAUGGGUGGAGAAAUUUGAUUAAACUCAUUUGUAAUGUU